rnacentral:rRNA from 1 species
AUUGAACGCUGGCGGCAUGCCUUACACAUGCAAGUCGAACGGCAGCACGGGGGGCAACCCUGGUGGCGAGUGGCGAACGGGUGAGUAAUGCAUCGGAACGUGCCCAGUAGUGGGGGAUAACUAGUCGAAAGAUUAGCUAAUACCGCAUACGACCUACGGGUGAAAGCGGGGGAUGCAGCACUUAAUGUUUUGGGAUGGCUACUUGUGGCCGCCUCGGGGACAGUCUCAGGUGAGAACAUUAAGUGCUGCACCUCGCGCUAUUGGAGCGGCCGAUGUCUGAUUAGCUAGGUUGGGACGGGGGUAAAGCCCACCAAGGCGACGAUCAGUAGCUGGUCUGAGAGGACGACCA